GGUUUUAGGUUAGCUUGUUUUAUUGUCAUUGUCACUGUUGUAUAACAUGUUCAAUAAUAAAUGUAAUUGCCUUGUAUAUUAUGAAUUCAAAUAAUUUUUUAUUUUUUUUGGUAUUGGGGAGGGUGUCACUGUGGGUGGGUGUGUUUUCUCAAUGAUUGGUAAUACAUUACUAAUUAUACCAUUAUCUCAAAGCUCACACUUCUUCAGCUAGAUUAUAAUAGCUCACUAGAGCUUGUGUUACUUUGUUUACAUUGUAUCAUAUUUAGUUGCACUAUUUGUGAAAAUAAAGUAAAAAACUUUUAGCUAUUUC
rnacentral:lncRNA from 1 species